rnacentral:rRNA from 1 species
AGUGAACGCUGGCGGUAGGCCUAACACAUGCAAGUCGAACGGCAGCACAGAGGAGCUUGCUCCUUGGGUGGCGAGUGGCGGACGGGUGAGGAAUACAUCGGAAUCUACUCUGUCGUGGGGGAUAACGUAGGGAAACUUACGCUAAUACCGCAUACGACCUACGGGUGAAAGCAGGGGAUCUUCGGACCUUGCGCGAUUGAAUGAGCCGAUGUCGGAUUAGCUAGCUGGCGGGGUAAAGGCCCACCAAGGCGACGAUCCGUAGCUGGUCUGAGAGGAUGAUCAGCCACACUGGAACUGGGACACGGUCCAGACUCCUACGGGAGGCAGCAGUGGGGAAUAUUGGACAAUGGGCGCAAGCCUGAUCCAGCCAUACCGCGUGGGUGAAGAAGGCCUUCGGGUUGUAAAGCCCUUUUGUUGGGAAAGAAAUCCAGCUGGUUAAUACCCGGUUGGGAUGACGGUACCCAAAGAAUAAGCACCGGCUAACUUCGUGCCAGCCGCCGCCGUAACAC